rnacentral:rRNA from 1 species
AGCGAACGCUGGCGGCAGGCCUAACACAUGCAAGUCGAACGGACCCUUCGGGGUUAGUGGCGGACGGGUGAGUAACACGUGGGAACGUGCCUUUAGGUUCGGAAUAGCUCCUGGAAACGGGUGGUAAUGCCGAAUGUGCCCUUCGGGGGAAAGAUUUAUCGCCUUUAGAGCGGCCCGCGUCUGAUUAGCUAGUUGGUGAGGUAACGGCUCACCAAGGCGACGAUCAGUAGCUGGUCUGAGAGGAUGACCAGCCACACUGGGACUGAGACACGGCCCAGACUCCUACGGGAGGCAGCAGUGGGGAAUCUUGUGCAAUGGCGAAAGCCUGACGCAGCCAUGCCGCGUGAAUGAUGAAGGUCUUAGGAUUGUAAAAUUCUUUCACCGGGGACGAUAAUGACGGUACCCGGAGAAGAAGCCCCGGCUAACUUCGUGCCAGCCGCCGCCGUAA